rnacentral:lncRNA from 1 species
CUAAGCAUCAGUAUAAUAAUAUAGCAGAAAACUGGAGCACAUUUGCUGCAUCAAAAGGGUACCAGGGGCCAUGGAAAUGUGUAAUAAGGAAGCACAGCCUCCAGUCUGACAGUAUUUCCUGUGGUGUUUUCACAGCUGUGUUUGCUGAGGCCAUUCUAGAAGGCUCAAAUGGGUACCUUGCAUGCUCACCUGCACAGCAAGAGAGAGAGCGACUGGGGUGUUUUUUUUUUAGGUCACUUGAUGAAUGCAGUGAUCUGGCUGGUGACAUCAGGUACCUGGCAACAAAAUUCAUCCCCCAGAAAAAAGUGGCUGAAGCCCUGUUGGAAGAGGGAAAUGUCAAUGAAGCCAUGUUCAAAACAGAAGACUGCAGGUAAUUUAGUAACAAUUUACUAUUACACUUAACAUUGACUAAAUGAUUUAAUUCCAGGUGAACUGGAAAACUAAAUAGCUGUUGAUAUUUUCAAUUGCAGGAAGACCAUGAAAGCUUUACAAGAUGCUUUAGAGAGUAAUUGGGAAACAUUUGACCUGGCAACACAUGGUCUUGGUCCUGCUGUUAUAAAGGGCACUUUUGCAUUAGUUGAUGCAUGGCUUAAGGAAAAGAUGAGAGCACUGAAAU